AGUUCGGAUUGUAGUCUGCAACUCGAGUACAUGAAGCUGGAAUCGCUAGUAAUCGCAAAUCAGAAUGUUGCGGUGAAUACGUUCCCGGGUCUUGUACACACCGCCCGUCACACCAUGAGAGUCGGGAACACCCGAAGUCCGUAGCCUAACCGCAAGGGGGCGCGGCCGAAGGUGGGUUCGAUAAUUGGGGUGAAGUCGUAACAAGGUAUC
rnacentral:rRNA from 1 species